rnacentral:rRNA from 1 species
GUCCUUUAGAUAUAGAAUUUAAGGUCUAACCUGCCCAUUGAUUAAUUUUUAACGGCCGCAGUAAUUUGACUGUGCAAAGGUAGCAUAAUCAUUAGUUUUUUAAUUGAAAGCUUGUAUGAAUGGUUGGACGAGAUAAAAACUGUCUCUGAAUAAUAAAUAGAAUUUAAUUUUUAAGUUAAAAAGCUUAAAUUAAUGUAAAAGACGAGAAGACCCUAUAGAUCUUUAUAUAAAUUUUUAUAAUUUAAUUAAUGAUUAUUUUAUUGUUUAUAAUUUUUUAUAUUUUAUUGGGGUAAUAAAAAGAUUAAAUUAAUUCUUUUUUAUAGAACAUUAAUUUAUGAAUUUAUGAUCCAAAUUUUUUGAUUAUAAGAUUAAGUUACCUUAGGGAUAACAGCGUAAUUUUUUUAAAGAGUUCUUAUCGAUAAAAAAGUUUGCGACCUCGAUGUUGGAUUAAAAAUUAUUUUAGGCGUAGAAGUUUAAAUUUUUGGUCUGUUCGACCAUUAAAUUUUU